rnacentral:rRNA from 1 species
GACAGAGGGUGCAAACGUUGUUCGGAAUUACGGGGCGUAAAGCGCGUAUAGGCUGCUCCGAUAGUCGGAUGUGAAAGCCCUGGGCUCAACCUAGGAAGUGCAUUCGAUACUGCGGAGCUGGAGUCCUGGAGAGGAAGGCGGAAUUCUCGGUGUAGAGGUGAAAUUCGUAGAUAUCGAGAGGAACACCGGUGGCGAAGGCGGCCUUCUGGACAGUGACUGACGCUGAUGCGCGAAAGCCAGGGGAGCAAACGGG